rnacentral:rRNA from 1 species
AGAGUUUGAUCCUGGCUCAGAACGAACGCUGGCGGCAUGGAUUAGGCAUGCAAGUCGAACGCCGGUAGCAAUACCGGAGUGGCGCAAGGGUGAGGAACGCGUGAGUGAUCUGCCCUCAAGUUGGGAAUAGCUCCUGGAAACGGGAAUUAAUACCGAAUGUGAUCAUAGAGCUGCAUGGUUUUAUGAUUAAAGGCGCAAGUCGCUUGAGGAGGAGCUCGCGUCCCAUUAGCUAGUUGGUGAGGUAACGGCCCACCAAGGCAAUGAUGGGUAGCUGGUCUGAGAGGACGACCAGCCACACUGGGACUGAGAACUACCCAGACUCCUACGGGAGGCUGCAGUCGAGAAUUUUGGGCAAUGGGCGAAAGCCUGACCCAGCAAUGCCGCGUGCGGGAUGAAGGUCUUCGGAUUGUAAACCGCUGUCGAGGGGAACGAAAUUUGACGGUACCCCUAGAGGAAGCCACGGCUAACUACGUGCCAGCAGCCGCGGUAAUACGUAGGUGGCGAGCGUUGUUCGGAUUUAUUGGGCGUAAAGGGUCCGCAGGGGGUUGAUUAAGUCUGACGUGAAAUCCCUGAGCUUAACUCAGGAACUGCGUUGGAGACUGGUUGACUAGAGUGUUGGAGAGGUGAUUGGAAUUCCAGGUGUAGCGGUGGAAUGCGUAGAUAUCUGGAAGAACAUCGAAAGCGAAGGCAGAUCACUGGACAAUGACUGACCCUCAGGGACGAAAGCAUGGGGAGCAAACAGGAUUAGAUACCCUGGUAGUCCAUGCCCUAAACGUUGUCAACUUGAUGUGAGCGGAAUUACUCCCGUUCGUGUCGAAGCUAACGCGAUAAGUUGACCGCCUGGGAACUACGGCCGCAAGGCUAAAACUCAAAGGAAUUGACGGGGGCCCGCACAAGCGGUGGAGCAUGUGGCUUAAUUCGAGGCAACGCGAAGAACCUUACCUAGAUUUGACAUAUACCGGACCGGUGUAGAAAUACACUUUCCCGCAAGGGUCGGUAUACAGGUGCUGCAUGGCUGUCGUCAGCUCGUGCCGUG